CCUACGGGAGGCUGCAGUGGGGGAUAUUGCACAAUGGUGGGAACCCUGAUGCAGCCACGCCGCGUGAGUGAAGAAGUAAUUCGUUAUGUAAAGCUCUAUCAGCAGGGAAGAAUAAAUGACGGUACCUGCGUAAGAAGCCCCGGCUAACUACGGGCCAGCAGCCGCGUGAAUCCCUAGGGGGCAAGCGUUAUCCGGAUUUACUGGGUGUAACGGGAGCGUAGACGGUGGUGCAAGGCAGCUGUGAAAGCCCGGGGCUCAAGUGCGGUAGUGCAUUUGGAACUGGCUGGCUGGAGUGCAAGAGAGGCAUGCGGAAUGCGUGGUGUAGCGGUGAAAUGCGUAGAUAUUAGGAGGAACACCAGUGGCGAAGGCGGCCUGCGGGACCGUAACUGACGUUGAGGCGCGAAAGCGUGGGGAGCAAACAGGAUUAGAUACCCUGGUAGUC
rnacentral:rRNA from 1 species